GCAUCAGGUGACAGCCCGGAAGCAGCGGAAGCGGAUGAGGGAAGCGCGGCCGCGGCCGUGGGGGACGGCGCGGAGCUGCGGGAGCCUCGGCCUCCUCCGGGUCCCCUGCGCGGCCCUUAUGCGGCGCCCUCGCUGACACCUGAAACUCGCCGCUCGCCGUCCUCCUGGGGACCGCGGGGUCGCCGGGCCCGCCGCCCUUGGCGGUUGAAGUCGUCGGCUUGCGGGCCCGCGGCGGCAGCACAUGGAGAAGGCCGGGCGGGGAGGCGAUGGCGCCCCCCGGGGGCCCGUACUGCACAUCGUGGUGGUCGGCUUUCAUCACAAGAAGGGCUGCCAGGUUGAAUUCUCUUACCCGCCCCUGAUUCCAGGAGAUGGACACGACAGCCACACUUUACCUGAAGAAUGGAAGUAUCUGCCCUUCCUUGCCUUACCAGAUGGUGCACACAACUACCAGGAAGAUACGGUGUUUUUUCACUUGCCACCCAGAAAUGGAAACGGAGCCACAGUGUAUGGUAUCUCCUGUUAUCGACAGAUUGAAGCCAAGGCAUUGAAAGUACGGCAAGCAGAUAUCACCAGAGAGACUGUUCAGAAAAGUGUCUGUGUUCUAAGCAAGUUGCCUCUCUAUGGCUUGCUUCAAGCAAAACUUCAGCUCAUUACACAUGCAUAUUUUGAAGAGAAGGAUUUUUCCCAAAUUUCCAUUCUAAAGGAGCUUUAUGAGCAUAUGAAUAGUUCCUUGGGAGGAACUUCAUUAGAAGGAUCCCAAGUAUAUCUUGGUCUAUCUCCUCGAGAUCUUGUGCUUCAUUUUCGACACAAGGUCUUAAUCCUGUUUAAACUAAUUCUUCUUGAAAAAAAGGUUCUCUUUUAUAUUUCUCCAGUGAAUAAAUUGGUGGGUGCCCUGAUGACUGUGUUAUCCCUUUUUCCAGGCAUGAUUGAACAUGGUCUCAGUGACUGUUCUCAGUACAGACCCCGAAAGAGUAUGUCUGAAGAUGCUGCGCUUCACGAAAGCAAUCUCCCUGCAGAUGAUUUUGUUUCUGUGUCUGCUCCUGACAUUUCAAAUACCAACUCAGGAACUGUUAAGAAAAUCAUGACAGGAAACCAUGGAGGAGAUGCUGGCAUCAACCUUCAAGAACCGUUGCUCCAAGUAGACGAUGACAGCAAAGUUCAGGAACCCAGUGAAACCAGUCAAUAUUUGAAACCUCCUUCUCGCCCAUCUCCAGAGUCUUCAGAAAGUGACUGGGAGACCUUGGAUCCUAGCGUCUUAGAGGACCCCACCUUGAAAGAAAGGGAACAGAUGGGGUCAGAACAGACAAACUCUUUUCCAAAGGAGUCUGUGCCCUCAGACAGUCCUCCGAUUACUGUACAACCUCAAGCUAAUACGGGCCAGGUGGUCCUGGUACCAGGGCUAAUUUCCGGUCUGGAAGAAGACCAAUAUGGCAUGCCCCUGGCCAUCUUCACAAAGGGAUAUCUGUGUUUGCCUUACAUGGCAUUGCAGCAGCAUCAUCUUCUCUCUGACGUCACCGUCCGUGGAUUCGUUGCUGGGGCUACUAACAUCCUUUUCCGCCAGCAGAAGCACCUCAGUGAUGCCAUUGUGGAGGUAGAAGAAGCUCUGAUCCAGAUCCAUGAUCCAGAACUCAGGAAGCUGCUUAACCCAACCACUGCAGACCUCAGGUUCGCAGAUUACCUAGUGAGGCACGUCACGGAGAACCGGGAUGAUGUCUUCCUGGAUGGCACAGGCUGGGAGGGAGGUGACGAAUGGAUCCGAGCCCAGUUUGCAGUCUACAUCCACGCGCUGCUGGCUGCCACACUGCAGUUAGAUAAUGAAAAGAUAUUAUCGGACUAUGGGACAACCUUUGUUACAGCAUGGAAGAAUACUCACAACUACAGGGUGUGGAACAGCAACAAGCAUCCGGCACUUGCAGAAAUAAAUCCAAAUCAUCCUUUUCAAGGCCAGUACUCCGUGUCAGACAUGAAGUUAAGAUUCUCACAUUCUGUUCAAAACAGUGAACGUGGCAAAAAAAUUGGAAACGUCAUGGUCACAACCAGCCGAAAUGUUGUACAAACAGGAAAAGCUGUUGGCCAGUCUGUUGGAGGAGCUUUUUCCAGUGCAAAGACAGCUAUGUCUUCAUGGCUUUCUACUUUCACCAGUCCUGCCCCCCAGAGUCUCACUGAGCUGCCCGAUGGGAAGCCCUGAGCAACAGGUGUCCAGAGGCUGCUGUCGCUUCCUUAGGUUUAAAUGUCUCCCGUCCGUCUGCUCCCAUCUUCAUCGGCCACAGGUCCACAGCAGGGGACCAGGACAUCGAACUGUUUACGUGGACGGUUGCCCUCUGUCUAAAUGAAUGUCGCAGGAUGCUGGAAAGAUGAAAUCGCAGCCGUAGCGGGGAUGGCUUUCCAGGUGGUGGCCCCUGCAGGAAGAACCCUUUAGUUUCUCUGGAAUGCUAAGUGCACAAAAUACAACCAAACAGAGAUUGGUCGUGCGAUAAUAUCUCAUCACAUGCUCACUGACAGAAACCCCCAGGGGAAUAGAACAUUGUCUCGAGCAGCCUAUUUUCCCACCUGGACUGGUAAGCUUCAAAAUAGCGCUUGGCAUUUCCACUGAGGGCUCCUGGCAUAUUUUCAUAUUUAUUUCCAUGUCCUGUGAUUUUCUUACAGCUGUUCUACAAAAGAGGAGCUUGGUGAUGUGCUUCACAGAAGCAGACAAGUUACUUUGCCCUGGGGGAGGGUGUACUUCCUUGAGUGUGGGGUUAAGUUUAAGGUCCCAGUGUUCUCUGACAUGGACCAUUAGCACCCCCAAGAUGAUGAGGUAUUUGGGGACAGUGGAGCCAGGCACCACCGGCAUCUCCCCUUUUCCAAGGACCUCUGCCAUCUGGGCGUCAGGCUCUGCCAUGGCGAGGUGGACGGUGCCCCCUCACCUCCGAGGUCACAACUGCCUGUUCUUUACGCCCAUAGGAUGGGAGUGGCAAUUAUUGAAUCUGGUAACAUCUAGAAGGACUGUGAUUGUGCAGCCAGUUUUUCUUCCAAGGAACAACCCUUCCUGAAGGACUUCUCUGCCUAGGUUUCAUCUCCACAGGGUUGGGGGGCCGCACGUGAACACACUUUGUGUGAUCCUGGAGUCUGAAGCCAGGGAACAGCCUGGGGCAGGAGAUGAGAAUGGUUAUGCUCUUUGCUCUUCCUGUGAACACCUGCAUUUGGAACUGCUGACGUCCCGACACAACAGCAGAACCAAGAUUCAGAUCAUUUAAAUGUAUGUGUUUGUGUUUGCUCUUUCACUGGACCCGGCCACACUCCCGGAGCACGUAGAUGUGGACUGGAACUGUGGAAGAAUGACGAAAGCCACAUGAUGAAAUCCGGAUCAUUGCCGAAGCCAGAUUUUUCUCUUUCAUUGUUCGGUAACACUGUGCCAUUGUGCAGCCGUCCCACGGUUCGUCCAGCCGGCCACUGGUGGGCUUGGCUCCAAGUUUCCUGUUUGGGGCUGACGCGAACGGCGGCGCUGCUCUGACCGUCCUGGUUUGCGUGUCCCAGCGCACCUGCACGUGCUUCUCCAGGGUAUACACGCGGGAGUGAAACUGCUGGGUAUUUUUUCACAUUGUCUCCAAUGCUUUGGUAUCACAAGGAAUUUAAAAUUUUGCCGAUCUGGUGGGUGUGAAAUGAUAUCUCAUUGUGGGUUUUAAUUUGCAUUUUCCUGAGUAUUAAUAAGGUUGAGUACUUUUUCAUUUAUUUAUUAACCAUAUAGAUUUCUACGUUUGUUAAAUGCCUGUUCAAGUCUUUUACCCAUUUGUCUAUUAGGUUGUCAGUUUCUUAUUUGCUUGAGUGUUCUAUGAUUUUUUAUAUGUAUAUAUAUGUAUGUAUUCUGGAUACUAUUUCUUUGUCAGUUAUGUGUGUUACAAAUAUCUCGUUCUGUGUCUUCAUUCUUUAUGAUAUGUUUUGAUGACUAGAAUUCUUUUUUUUUUUUUUAAAGAUUUUAUUUAUUUGACAGAGAGAGAUACAGCGAGAGAGGGAACACAAGCAGGGGGAGUGGGAGAGGGAGAAGCAGGCUCCCCGCUGAGCCGGGACCCCGACGCGGGGCUCGAUCCCAGGACCCUGGGACCAUGACCUGAGCCGAAGGCAGACGCUUAACGACUGAGCCAUUUUAAUACCAAAACAUGGGAAGAGCACAGGGUUCUGUGCACCAGUUCAUGGAGAUGGAUGAAGAAACUUCAUUUCCUCCGAAAGGCUGACAUUCCCCAAGUCUAACAAUCACAUAGUGUGGUCCAGUGUUUUCCAGAACUGUCCUGGGCAGCCACAGGUCCUAGGCACACUGGCCUCCAGAGACCCAAGAUUUGCACAUCUUUGGCUACUUGCGCUGGGAAGCCACUCUUACGACGAACCCAAGUCCCUCAUACUCAUACUGCAUUUUAAACCCUGCCUUCUCCUGAUCCAGUAUUUGAGUGCCUACUCUGCACGCACAUAGCACAUGCCCUACACGUGGUUCCUGGCCCUCUUGGAGCUUGCUGUUCAUCAGGGCAGAAAACACAUCGAGAGAGGGAACACAAGCAGAGGGAGUGGGAGAGGGAGAAGCAGGCUUCCCGCCGAGCAGGGAGCCCGAUGCGGGGCUUGAUCCCAGGACCCUGGGAUCAUGACCUGAGCAGAAGGCAGACGCUUAACGACUGAGCCACCCAGGCGCCAAAGUGAUGAGUAUCUUAAGAGGUCCAGUAAAGUGCCAUGGCAGUCCUUUCUGCUGGGAUAAUCAGAGAAGGCUUCCUGGAGGAAGUGGCAUUGGCUCCGUUCCUUGAGUGACUGAAGAAGGUAAGAUUCUGAAUAGAGGCAAUAAAGGUAAGAGCAGAUUUUUAGCCCACCCUCAGGGGGGCCCAUGGUCUGUGAUGCCGAAAAGGAGCAGGUCAGAGUGAGUAAAGCUUUAGGAAGGGGUUAAGGAGUGAUGAUGGAGGAGAGCUAAGGAAGAAAUCAGUCUCUGGAGAUGCUAAAGCCAGAAGAAGACUGAGACUCAUAAAAACCACCCGAGUUGGUGAGACUACAGGACUAAGGAAAAGAGAGUGAGGAGGAGGAAAUCCCCUAAGUGGCAGAUAAAGGAAGGAAAAAAGUACAGUUGACCCCUGAACAAAGUAGGGACUAGGGGCACUUACCGCCCCCAUGCAGUCAAAAAUUUGUAACUUUCAACUCCCCCAAAACUUCACUUAUAGCCUACUGUUGACCACUAGCCUUACCGAUAAUGUAAACAGUCAAUCAAUAUAUAUUUUGUAAGUUAUAUGUAUUGUAUACUUAGAAUAAAGUAAGCUAGGGAAAAGAAAAUGUUAUUAAGAAAAUCAUAAGGAAGAGAAAAUACAUUACAGUUCCAUACUAUAUCAAAAAAACUCCAUGUAUAAGUAGACCCACACAAUUCAAACUCAUGUUGUUCAGGGGCCAACUUACUCUCUCCGGUGGGAAACUGCUCGAAGUCUCGGAUGAAUGAUGAGUAAGGCCACUCUGACUGAAGUGGACACCUUCCCGCAGCACUUGACCAUUUCUUCCUUCCUUUGUGAGGGGGGCAGGAAUCCGACUUGCUUCCCUCUGCAUUUCUUCUUCCUCCUUCGUGUGUCUUCUCUGUUUCUCCCACUCCGGUGUGAGAAGUUGGCUACUGUACUGGAGGGAGGGGACAAUCCAAGCACAAAUGGAGGUCGAGAAGACACUGCCUGUGAGUAGAAGCCUCUCGGGCCCUGAACACGUCUCCAUCGCCAUUCCUACUGUUCUGGGGCUAAUGAUCUAGCGUUAGAAUGGACAGUGAGGGUGGGAGGCCUCGCACGUAGUAGGCACUUGAUGACUGCUGUAACAUGAACAAAACCUUCCUUCCCGGUGCCAGGCUCUGUGGUUACAGCUUACCAAGCACAGUGUAACUGAUGCACUGAAAGAGCAAAAGGAGCUAAGGAAGCAAAAUAAAGCAGUGCUUUCAACUAUUUCUAUUUCACAAAGUGCUUGGUGAAACUGUAAAAGGGUAUUUAGUACCACAGAAAGUAGGCCAAGGGUAAGAAAAACUCUCCAUACCCAAGAGAAUUCAGCUGACCAAAUUAAGUCUGAUCCAGAAUAAACAGUUCUCAUCUGGAAAUCUAGCAGUUCCAGAAAGUACCGUCCAAGUGGGAAAAGGCCCACGGUGCUGGUCUGUGUAAUUAUGUAACCCUUGAGGAGAGUGGGAAGAAGUGCCAACGUGCUGGGGGACACGGGGAGAAUAGUUCUCGGGCCUCGAAGAGGACUGUGCUACUCAGGAGAAGCCAGGCUCACAUGCCCUUUCUCACGAACUUGACCAACCUCGGUCAUUUUUCCCCCUCCUUACCCAGUGUCCAAAACCUACAACAAGGUUUCUAUUAUCGAAUCGCUCCAACAGAAAUAACUUUCCAACAGUCAUGUGAAUAGCACUGCACGUGAAGAGUUCACUUGAAAUGAAACCGAAGCUCAGCUUCAGUGUCAAGACCAUCCGUGUUGACACUGUGAAAAGCAUUGUCACUGCCCCUUUAAAGAUCACUUAAAAACAUCAAACAGACUAAAUCCCAGGUGGUAAGAGGAAUUUAAAAUAUAACCUUCUUUCUCUAACAAUUUGUAAAAAUCCAGGCUUAAAAUUGAAGGCGGGGAUUUCAAGAGGUCCACAUACACCGUGUUUACGGCAGCAUUUUCCAUGAUAGUCAAGGGGUGGAAGCAAGCAGUGUCCAGCCACCGACGAACGGAUAAACACCAUGUACGAUAUACACGCAAUGGAAUAUUACUCAGCCUUGAAAAGGAAGGAAAUUCUGGCACGUGCUGCUACAUGGAUGAACCUUGGAGACAUGAUGCUAAGUAAAAUAAGCCAGUCACAAAAGGACAAAUGCUGUAUGAUUCUGCUUGUGUAGCAUACCUAGAGUAGCCACAGUCCUAGAAACAGAAAGCAGAAGGGUGCUUGCCAGAGGCUGUGGGGCAGGGGCAGCAGAGAGUUACUGGUGGCUGGGUACAGAGAUUCCGUUUUGCAAGAUAAGUUCUGGAGAUGGGUGGUGCUGACAGUUACACAGUGCUGUGAAUGUGCAAAAAAAUUUUAAUGCCCUUAGAAAGACCAUGGAACCACUGGAAGAGACGCUUGGGAUCUUCCAAGUUCAGUUCUCUAAUUGUUUACCUUUUACUAUGGCAGAUUUCAAAUACAUAAGUAGUCAGAAGAGUUUAAUAAACCUCCUUUUGCAAUAUGCCAUUCAGCUUCAAUAGUUGUCAGUUUAUAACCAAUCUAAAUUCAUCUUUACCCUCACUUUUUCCCUCCGUCCCAUAGAAUUAUUUUUAAAACUUUAUAUUUGGAAGUAAUUUCAAGGAUACAGGUAAGUUAACAAAAAUGAAACAGUAAGGCAAAACCAAACACCUAUUACCCUUUACUCAGAUUCAUCUGUUACUAACAUCUUACUUCAUUUGCUUUUUUAAUAUGUUCUUUCUCACCCUCUCUCACAUACACACACGCCUCUCCCGCAGACAUUUUUUUCCACCUACUGGGGGUAAGUUACAUAUAUCCUGGCCCUUUACCUUGAACUACUUCAUUGUGUUUUUCCUUAAAAUAAGGAUAGUCUCUUACAUACCAUUGAGUACAGUUACCAGUUUCAGUAAAUUUAACACUGACUCAAUUUUAUCUCUACACCAUUUGUAUCCCAGUUUCUUUUCUUUUCUUUUUUUAAGAUUUUUUAUUUAUUCAUGAGAGAGAGGCAGAGGGAGAGGCAGGCUCCCUGUGGAGCAGGAAGCCCGAUGCAGGGCUCCAUCCCAGGACGCUAGGAUCAUGACCUGAGCCGAAGGCAGACGCUUAACCGCCUGAGCCCCCAGGCGCCCCUGUAUCCCAGUUUUGUCAGUUGUGUUCUUUAUAGCAUUGCUUUCCCCUCCAGUAGAGGAUCCAGGUCAGGGCCAGGUAUUAUAUUCAGUUGUCAGCCUCCAUUUCCAGAGCCUUUCUCUUUUAUGACAUUGAUAUUUUGGAAAUAUAAAUCCCUCUUCCUUUUUUUAGUAAGAUGGUCCUCAUUGGGGUGUUUGCCUACCAUUUUCUUAGGAUUAGAUUCAAAAUAGGCAUUCUUGACCAGAGCACUGCCUAGAUGAUGAUGUGUCCCUUUCAGAGUUUUACAUGUGGAGGCAUGUGUCUAUCUGCCCCUUAUUGGUGAUGUUGAUCUUGAUCACUGGUCAGGGGUGUUGCCCAGUUGCAUCACCAUGCAGUUACUGCCCUGACUCCUCUCCCCCCCACCCCCAUCCCUGGCAAAUAAUCUCUGGAGAUGCUUUAAGAUCAUGCAGCUAAUCUGCUUAUCAAAAUUUCCCUUGGAUUCAGCAUCUGUAUUUACUUCCUAUUGCUGCAUAAUACAUAUGUCAAAACUUACUUGUUUAAAACAAAUAUUUGUGAUCUCAGUGUCUGUGGGUCAGGAAAUUGGCUUGGUUGGAUGGUUCUGCCUCAGGAUCUCUGGUGAGAUUACGUUUCGUUGUUGGUGAGAAGUUGCCAUCAUCUGAAGGCUUGCCUGGAGCUGGAGAGUCCAUUUCCAAGAUGGUUCAUUCACAUGCCUGGCAAUUUAGUGCUGGAAAUGUCACCUCCUUGCCACACGGACCUCUCCCUAGAGUUACUUCUGUGUCCUCAUGGCACGGACUGGCUUCCUCUAAAGCAAGUGAUCCCGGAGAGAGCAAUGCCUUUUGUGACCUACUCUGGGGGUCAUACACUAUCAGUUCCGCUACAGUCUACUCAUUAGAAAUUACUAAGUCCAACCCACAUUCAAGAAAGAAUUAAGCUCCAACUUUAAGUACCAACUCCAGAAGGGAGAAUAUCAAAGAAUUUGUGGACAUAUUUUAGGAUCAUCACAGCAUCCAUUGAUGAUUCUUGCCUGAUUCAACUCUUACUCUGACAGCUGCAAAAUAUUGGUUUUCCAACUACCCUGUAUUAUUUUUGAAGCAAACCCCGGCAUUAUAUUUAAUCUGUAAAUAUUUAAGAUGUAUCUCUAAAAGAUAAAUGUUUUAAUGUUAUAAGCUGAUAACAGUGUUAUCAAGUAGCAAAUCCGUAUUUAAAUUUCCAUAUGUCUCAUGAAUGCCAUAUUUUUUAUUGGGAUUCAAUUCACAUGCCAUAAAAUUCACCCAUUUAAAGUAUACAAUUCAGUGGCUUAUAGUAUUUUCACAGAGUUGCACGAUCAUCAUCACUAUCUUAAUUCCAUCACCCCAAAUAGAAACCCUGUAUCCAUUAGCAGUUACUUCCCAUUUCCCACUCAGGCCCUGGCAUCCACUAAGAUACAUUCUAUGGAUUCACCUAUUAUAGACAUUUUGUAUAAAUGGUAUAAUACUAUAUGGCCUUUUCUGUCUGACUUCCUUCACUUAGCAUAAAGUUUUUAAGGCUGAUCCAUGUUAUAGCAUGAAAUACUUUUUUUUUUUUUUUUUUUAAGUAGGCUCCACACCCAGUGUGGAGCCCAAUGGAGGGCUUGAACACACAACCCUGAGAUUAAGACCUAAACUGAAAUCAAGUCGGACGCUUAACCAACUGAGCCACCCAGGUGCCCCUACUUUUUUUUUUUUUUUUUUUUUUUUUUGCUGAAUACCAGUGUAUGGAUAUACCACAUUUUAUUUACCCACUUUUUGGCUAUUAUAAAUAAUGUUGCUAUGAACAUUGUGUACAAGUUUUUGUGUGAAGCCAUAUUUAUUUUUUGUUUGAAUCAGGACCAAAGUAAAGUCUACACAAUGCUAUUGGCAGAUAAAUCUUUUAAGUUUCUAUUAUAGGUUCCUCCUUUCACAACUUUAUAUAUAUUUUUCAAUUUGUUAAGAAAUUUGAGUCAUUUGUCCUGCAGUUUUCCAAAAUCUGGAUUUAGUUGAUUGCAUCCUCUUGGCAUAAUUUAAUAUGUUCUUCUAACAUCUGUACUUUCAUAAACUGGUACUUGUGUGUAGAAACUUGAUCAGAUUCAGUCUUGAUGGAAAAGGGGCAAGGUGACUAUAGGUAGGCUGUUAUCCUACCAACCUAAUUGUCUCUCUUUUUUUUUUAUAUUAGCAGCCAUUGAUAAUCAUUGCCCAGGUACAUUUUGGCAUAAAAUAUAAUGAUAGUCCCAUGCUGUCAUUUCUUACCUAUUAGCUGGAAUCUGAUAUAAGGAAAAAAUUUGCCCUCAAUUCCUCUAUUGCUGCAUGAUUCAGUUUGUAUAUAAAAGGAAGGAUAAAAUGCUUCAAUUUUUCCCUUUGUUUUAUCCUCUAAUAAUGAUCAACUAUUUGUGGGUUUUGAAAAUGAAUUGGUAGAUUAAACAUAUUUAAUAUAUUCUACUGGAGUGGGGUUUUUUGUUGUUUUUUUGUUUUACAUAAUCUAUUUUUUAAAAUGCCACAUUUUGGCAGGAACACAUGAAUAGACUUGGACAUUCAUUAUUAUUAGAUGAUUAAUGAUACUUCUCUUUUGAUAUAAAGUCAUUUAGUGUUUAAUAAUUCAAAUAUGGGUAUACUUUUUCUAAAUAAAAGUAAGACAAAAUGUUUGAAAAUUUUCAUGCUAAUGUUUUAAUUUCUGAAGAUAAAGAGGUUAAGUAUUUAGUGGACCAUUUAGUAGAAAAAAAGCGCUGACCUAUAGUGUGGAAUCCCCUAGGAGGUUCAGUAGAUUAAGGGUCAAGUAGGUCUCUUUAUGUACCAUUAGGCAGCUGACAUCCUCACAGAGAGGAAUAUUUUUUUUUUUAAGAUUUUGAGAGAGAGAGUGGGGGGGAGGAGCAGAGGAAGAGGGAGAAGCAGGCUUCCCGCUGAGCGGGGAGCCCCAUGCAGGACUUGGUCCCAGGACACUGGGACCGUGACCCAAGCCGAAGGCAGACGCUUAGCUGAGUGAGCCACCCAGGUGUCCCAGAGGAAUAUUUUGAACACAGAAGAUAAAGGACACAACAUGUGGUUGGUAUUGGAAAAAUGUCUGCUUUCUUUUUUUUUUUUUUUUAAGAUUUUAUUUAUUUGAGAGAGAGAGAAUGAGAGACAGAGAGCAUGAGAGGGAGGAGGGUCAGAGGGAGAAGCAGACUCCCUGCCGAGCAGGGAGCCCGAUGCGGGACUCGAUCCAGGGACUCCAGGAUCAUGACCUGAGCCGAAGGCAGUCGCUUAACCAACUGAGCCACCCAGGCGCCCAAAAUGUCUGCUUUCAAAUACAUAUUUAAUGUGUGCAUUUUACUGCCACCCCCCCCCCCCAAAUAAUGCUACUGGUACAAUGAUAAAAGGCCAAGAAAAUUAACCACAGUAAGUGAAGGGGAAAUGUGUUACGAUUCAGAAGCUUUAAUUUUCAAAAAAUUCUUAACGUCUUUAUCUUCCUCUCAUUGGAGUUAUUAUUCUUACUGUUGUUGCUCACAUUGUCCUCUCUUUGGCCAGUGGUUUUUUUUUGUUGUUGUGUUUUGUUUUGUUUUUUAGGAAAUUCUGUGGCCCCUGGCUUUCCCUACAAGCUGGACCCGGGGCCGGUCGCUGGGAGCCUGGGUGCUGACUCAGUGCCUCCCGCAGGCAGUUUGUGCCCCGCACCUUCCCUCAGGCAUCUGCCCUUCCGGCCUGUGGGAUGAGGCCUGCCCUACCCAUCUGGUCAUAUUCCUGUGGCCCGCAGUCCCCCCGGCCCUGUGCUGUUGAGGGGGAGGUUUGCAUGGUGAAUGCUGGCAGACCCCAAAUGCCCUGCUGCCCUGCUGGGCCCUCGGGGCCUUUCCAGCAAUCCUGAAUCCGAGGUGUUUCCCUUCCUGUGGAGCCGCUGUCAGGCCUGGCCAGUGGUUCCUGUUGGCUACUUGGUUCCCAAGUCUUUUGACAUGACUGCAACAUUCUUUGAUGGCUUCCUGGAUAGCUGGUGUAAGGUGUUUCUAGCUUCCUUCGUACAUUUCUUUUUUUUUUUUUUUUUUUUAAGAUUUUAUUUAUUUAUUUGCGACAGAGAAUGAGAGAGAGCAUGAGAGGGAGGAGGGUCAGAGGGAGAAGCAGACUUCCCGCUGAGCAGGGAGCCCGAUGCGGGACUCGAUCCCGGGACUCCAGGAUCAUGACCUGAGCCGAAGGCAGUCGCUUAACCAACUGAGCCACCCAGGCGCCCCUCUUCAGAUGUAUCUUAAAUGAAAAAUUCAUUUAAAUUAAAAUGAACAUCUGACUUUA